ensembl:antisense Ccdc142os coiled-coil domain containing 142, opposite strand
GCAGUGUUCUGUGCCACACAGCAUAAGCAGUGAAUGUGCAAAAUCCCCUUCGCAGGAAAACGUCCUAAAGCCCUCUCCCUUGGGGUCCUGCCUGCGAGAUCUAGGGGUUGUUGCAGGAGACACAGCAGGGCCCCAUCUAGCUGCUGGAAGAUGCUGAGUGAGAGCAGAGUCUGGCGAAGCUCCUGCGACAGGCCCCACUGCUCCUGUUCCAGAACCUCCCUGACCACUCCGAAGUCUUGCUUGAGCUGCAGCGCCCCCUGCAGGCUAGAUGUCCAGCACCACAAAGAAAGAAAAAUUACCAGGACACAAUCGAAGUCUCCAGUAUCGACCCCUUGGCAUGUGGAGCUUGAAGCCUUGUGUGGCUUGUUUAUGGCAUUCUUGGACAAACAGACCCAGUGACUCUUUGGGCAGGAGCUGUAUGGGGAGGAAGAAAUUAAGAAGGGCUAGUCUAUUAGACUGGGAAUGGUGUUUCUCUCUCUGAGGUCUCAGUGUGGGCAUCUGUAAAACCCUGAUGCCUCACUGUGGGAGCAUGGGCAUUUUCUAAGGAGGUCUGGACCUAAACCAUGCACAGUACCUAGGAUUAGAGGUUUCCUUAGUAGU